GUUUUGCGUUAGGGACAGUAGUGUAAAGCCCACAGGAAACCCUAUUUUAUAAUAGGGUUUUCGAGGACUUGAAACGUAUAGCCCGACCUAAG
rnacentral:misc_RNA from 1 species